AAGUCGUAACAAGGUCUCCGUUGGUGAACCAGCGGAGGGAUCAUUACAGAGUUGCAAAACUCCCAACCAUUGUGAACCUACCUCACCGUUGCUUCGGCGGGUGGCCCGGGGCGACUCAGGCCGCGCCGGCCCCUCUUCAGGGGCCUGGCAAACCCGUCAGAGGACCGAAACUCUUCGUCAUCAGUGGCCUCUCUGAGUAACUUAUACAAUAAGUCAAAACUUUCAACAACGGAUCUCUUGGUUCUG
rnacentral:misc_RNA from 1 species